CAGGCUAUGCCCUUUUAGUUGGGGAUUUCAUUUACGCUGAACUGUUUGUCGU
rnacentral:tRNA from 1 species